UACCCAGCUCGGGGGCAUUACGCCAGGGUGCCUGGCUUCCCCCGCAGGCCCUGGCAUCCCUCUGGGUACCAGGAUGCCGAGGUGGGGACACAGGAUGCAGAGGGGCUCUGGCCUGCUGAGUGGAGUCAGUUCAGCCCAUUCCCGUCCACCACCUGGAAUGUGGAUUUCGCUCCAGAAAAACUCAUCUGAAAAAGGCCAGGCAUGGAUCAGCCUUCGGUCCCACCCUGGAUGCUCGGGAGGGACGCUGCUCAGGCAGAGCAUCCCCGGGGUGUAAACCACAAGCAGUAGCUUCCGUAGUCCUGGAGGCUGGAAGCCUCGGAUCAGUGUCCACGAGGCUGGAGUCUGGUGAGGUCCCUGCUCCAGCUGUGCAGACGCGCCGGCUCCCUACUGUGACUUCCUGAGGCUGGAGAGAGCUCUGGGCUCCCUGACUUCUCACAGGGCCCUGGCUCCACGGCUGCACCCAAUGUGACCACCCCAAAGCCCCCACAUUCUAAUGAGAGAGGCCAGGCCUGGGACACUUCACUGCAAGACUUGCAGCCGGACAAACGUCUCCUCCAGCAACAGGAUCCGAAGAAAC
rnacentral:lncRNA from 1 species